rnacentral:rRNA from 1 species
GAUGAACGCUGGCGGCGUGCCUAAUACAUGCAAGUCGAGCGAAUGGAUUAAGAGCUUGCUCUUAUGAAGUUAGCGGCGGACGGGUGAGUAACACGUGGGUAACCUGCCCAUAAGACUGGGAUAACUCCGGGAAACCGGGGCUAAUACCGGAUAACAUUUUGAACCGCAUGGCUCGAAAUUGAAAGGCGGCUUCGGCUGUCACUUAUGGAUGGACCCGCGUCGCAUUAGCUAGUUGGUGAGGUAACGGCUCACCAAGGCAACGAUGCGUAGCCGACCUGAGAGGGUGAUCGGCCACACUGGGACUGAGACACGGCCCAGACUACUACGGGAGGCAGCAGUAGGGAAUCUUCCGCAAUGGACGAAAGUCUGACGGAGCAACGCCGCGUGAGUGAUGAAGGCUUUCGGGUCGUAAAACUCUGUUGUUAGGGAAGAACAAGUGCUAGUUGAAUAAGCUGGCACCUUGACGGUACCUAACCAGAAAGCCACGGCUAACUACGUGCCAGCAGCCGCAGUAA